UGUUUCCCACAGUGUUUCCUCAUAACCUCUUUGGACUGAGCACCAGGGCUGUUUCCUAGUGAAGAAGGCCAAAUCACAAGAGAAGAAAAGAUUGAUCUUGAGUGCUGGGUAUUUUUCGCUCACCACAUUAGCUGCCAGUUUUCCAGGCUAUCCCCCCAGGACUGAGAUGAGGUGAGAGGUGCUUCAAUGAACGAGACAGAAAAUAUCAAUUAUUGAUGAGAAUAUGGAGCACUUGGAGUUCUUAUACACUGCUAGAUGGAGUGCCAAAUGAGUACAAGCUACUCUGCUAGUACCCUGCAAGCUGAACCUAAUCAACGAGUUGGCAAGUCUACUCCUAGGGGAAGCCUGCUGCCAGGUCACGUAGCCCCGUGGAGACUCCUGCAUGGUGAGGAACUGAGGCCUGCCCAAAACCACAGGAAUGAUCUUGGAUGUGGAUCUUCCAGCCCCAGAUGAAAACAUUGAAACUAAAGAAUGAAACACGUGCUGGUCAAAGUCACAGCUCUCUGAAGUAUUAGAGCUGCAACUUGAACCCAGUCUGUCUGGAUAAUUCCAGUAAGCCAGGCUCAGUCGAAACUUGAGUAAACAAAUGUUCUUUGGUCUUAGGUGGAAAUUCAGAGAUGAAAAGGCCAAGUUUCCUGUCCUCAAGAAAUUGCUGGUGUGAUCAGGUCGAGUUGUAAAAAUAUGAUCCACCAAGAACCAAGAUCCCCUGGAGAGGAAGCCAAUUUGCAGCCCUAAAAAGAAGCUAAAAUUGAACGCAUAUUAUAAUUCAAUGCAUUAUUGAAUGCAUGUAACGAGGAAAACCACGUUCAGAAAUGUGAGCCAAUUUGACUCAGAAUCCAUCAAGCCAUAUUACCACCAACCUCCAUGUCGUCCGACAAGCAUUUGAGUGGCUUCCCUGUACAAGGUAAGUCUAAUGCUAAUGUGAAAGAUUUUAGCAAAUUAUAAAAUGAUGAACGAAGAUCUCGUAAUUUUUUUACUAUUCCUCUCAAACAGUCCUAUGAGGCUGGUUAUUAUCAUCUCCAUUUUAUAGAUGAGAAAUACGCAAAGAGCAUGUAAACAUUGCUGAGCUGAGGCUGGCUUCCUGACUCCUCAUCCUGGUCUCUGUGUUCUACAUUCACUAUGUUAGGGAUAU